AACGAACGCUGAUGGCGGGCCUCAUACAUGCAAGUCGAGCGAGAAAACCUUCGGGUGAGUAGAGCGGCGCACGGGUGAGUAACGCGUGGGUAAUCUACCUCUUGGAUGGGGAUAACUACUGGAAACGGUGGCUAAUACCGAGUAAGCUCCUGAAAUCAUAAAGGUUUUUGGAGGAAAGGUGGCGCAAGCUACCGCCGAGAGAUGAGCCUGCGUCCCAUUAGCUUGAUGGUGGGGUAAAAGCCUACCAUGGCUACGAUGGGUAGCUGGUCUGAGAGGAUGAUCAGCCACACUGGAACUGGAACACGGUCCAG
rnacentral:rRNA from 1 species